rnacentral:rRNA from 1 species
AAUAGAUACCCGGGUAGUCCUAGCCGUAAACGAUGAACACUAGGCGUAGUCGGUAUCGACCCCGGCUGUGCCGUAGCUAACGCAUUAAGUGUUCCGCCUGGGGAGUACGGCCGCAAGGCUAAAACUCAAGGGAAUUGACGGGGGCCCGCACAAGCAGCGGAGCGUGUGGUUUAAUUCGUCGCAACGCGAAGAACCUUACCAGGGCUUGACAUGUGGCGGAAAACGGCGGAAACGUCGUCCUCCCGCAAGGGACCGUCAUGCAGGUGUUGCAUGGCUGUCGUCAGCUCGUGUCGUGAGAUGUUGGGUUAAGUCCCGCAACGAGCGCAACCCCCGUGGCAUGUUGUAUCUCUCAUGCCAGACUGCCGAGAGAAACUCGGAGGAAGGUGGGGAUGACGCCAAGUCAGCAUGGCCCUUACGUCCUGGGCUACACACACGCUACAAUGGCCGGUACAACGGGUUGCCAAACCGCGAGGUGGAGCUAAUCCCUUAAAGCCGGUCUCAGUUCGGAUUGCAGGCUGCAACUCGCCUGCA